UCGGUUUUGUAACAAAUCUUUUAUUGUACAGUUUACAAAUCUCGACAGAACUAUCACAUUGGUGAUUAGGAAGGACAAAGCACGCAUUUACACACAAAUAUAAACUUUAACAGACACUAACGCAAACAAAUGUGCACGCACAGGGGAACACAAACCUAUGCACGCACACACACACACACACACACACACACACACACACACACACACACACACACACACACACACACACACACACACACACACACACACACACACACACACACACACACACACACACACACACAGUGGCGUUUUGCAACUUAUUCCAUUUGCCAUAUGUUUUAAUCUAUCAUAAAAAAAAUACAUAUUAGUAAACAGCAAACGUAAGCUACAUUCAAUAAUCUUGCUGUACAAUAGUAAAAGUUACUUCUGUCCAUUUUUUCUAAAAAUACUGUAUUUCUUUGUCAUUUAUCAUUUUUGUAGCACAUUUGAUUACAUCUUUUACACAUUGCAAGAUGUUUUUAAUAUACACGCAGUGGCAGAGCUAAAAUAAAUAAAUAAAUAAAUAAAUAAACAAACACACAAAAAAAUAGAAUAAAUUAUCAAAUCCAAAAUUGAAUAUAAAUAACAGCAGUGAGUAAAAAAAGGCAGGUGGCAAGCCAUGGCGUGUUCCCUCCGUUUCAUCUUCCCGCUUCUCUCAGGGUGCCAUGGCAACAGGCUGAUGGGUUUUCACGAAAAAGCAGCCAGAGAGGAUAGAAGAGGCGCCCCAUCAAGUCACAUAAUCAGUUUCUGUUUAAAUGAGGUUCUGCAAGCAAAACAAGCAAAGCCCGUAAUUAGAGGAGCGACAGCGAGCCCGGAGGCAGGCUUGUGUGAUACUACUGUGUGUUACCGAUGGAUAGACUGUGUGUUACUGAUGAAUGUUACUUUGUGUUACUGAUGGAUACAAACUGUGUGCUACUGACACACGGUGCUAUGUGUUACUGAUAAAUAGACCAGUGUGAUACUACUGUUGUUCGUAGCUGUGUGUUACUGAUAGACUGUCGCUGUGUGUUACUGAUUAAUAGACCAGUGUGAUGCUGAUGAGUAAAGCUGUGUGUGACUGAUACACUGUGUGUGUGACUGAUACACUCUGUGUGUUACUGAUAGACUGUGUGUGUUACCGAUAGAUAGACCCUUGUGAUACUGAUGACUAAAGCUGUGUGUUACUGAUAGACUGUGUAUGUAACUGAUAGAUAGACCCUUGUGAUACUGAUGACUAAAGCUGUGUGUUACUGAUUGAUAUGGACUUUGGCCGUGGCCGGAUUUAAUUUAUAGAAAAAGAUUAUGUGGUAAUAUAAAGCUAAAUGAUCUCACCUCUGAUACAUCGUACUACGAAAUUGUAUCAGGUCUUCACACCGUGUCGUUAAAUAACAUACAAUGAAUGUGUUUCUUUUGCGAUAGUCAUAUAUUUAGUGUAAACUUUGUUUUUGGUAUUUUUUUUAAGCCGUUGUCUGACUCUAUGACUCUGAAUGGAUGGUCGGUGUUAGAUAUCAACCUCCCCCUAUGAAAGCACUCUUCAGCUUUUCCUUUGUCUGCGAAUGAAUGGGGAAACAAGCGAAAAAGCUUUUUUUUUCUACAGCACCGCCACAAUGUGUGCUCGGGUGCAAACUCUUGCAGUGGAUCAGUUCGGAAGCGUCACCUCAUCUCUCCUCUUCUCGGCGGAGCCAGGGGCCCUUGGACUGGUGGCGGGCCGAACAGGGGCCCCACCGAGGGACCCGUAGCUGGAGGACUGGACCUUGGGCAGGGCGCAGGACUGACCGCACAGGAUCACGUUCUCAUCUGUAAAUGAGGACAAAGAAACAAUCACUAAUCUCGAAAAUAUUGAGCCUCUAUGGCGGUUUAAAGAAGGUCAAUGACUUGAAAUAAUUUAAUGCAUUGAUGUAGAAAGAUAGUGAAUCACAUAGUCUCACAUAAUCUAUUGUACAUUCUUGGGGUUAUUCAGUUCGUUCAGAUGUUGUUAACUGUAAUGUAUUUCAUAAUGUACAGUGUUUUCUACACCGAUCGGUACAUGGAAUAAUAUAUCACAAUUCAGGACUGCAGAGAUAACAACAACAGCCGUUUAUAGACAUAUCACAGCACACAUCAUCCUCACAGAUCCCUCAAAAAAGAACAAUACUGC
ensembl:lncRNA